rnacentral:rRNA from 1 species
GACGAACGCUGGCGGCGUGCCUAACACAUGCAAGUCGAGCGAUGAAGUUUCCUUCGGGAAAUGGAUUAGCGGCGGACGGGUGAGUAACACGUGGGUAACCUGCCUCAUAGAGGGGAAUAGCCUCCCGAAAGGGAGAUUAAUACCGCAUAAUAUUACAGUUUCGCAUGAAACAGUAAUUAAAGGAGUAAUCCGCUAUGAGAUGGACCCGCGGCGCAUUAGCUAGUUGGUGAGGUAACGGCUCACCAAGGCGACGAUGCGUAGCCGACCUGAGAGGGUGAUCGGCCACAUUGGGACUGAGACACGGCCCAGACUCCUACGGGAGGCAGCAGUGGGGAAUAUUGCACAAUGGGGGAAACCCUGAUGCAGCAACGCCGCGUGAGUGAUGACGGUCUUCGGAUUGUAAAGCUCUGUCUUUGGGGACGAUAAUGACUGUACCCACAGAAGAAGCCCCGGCUAACUCCGUGCCAGCAGCCGCCGUAACAC